UUGCCAACUUGAAAUAAAACUUAUCUUAUCUUAUCAAUGUGUACGAAGAGGUAUAAGAUAAGUGUCCACUCGGCCCUAAACCAACUCGGUCCGCAACAAAAAAGAAAUCACUUUAGAUUGUUUAGUUGAUGAACAUCCAGCGGUAGAUCACAUAUACUAAAAAUAAUUGAAAAGAUCUGUAUGUUGUAUUAUCUUUGUUAAGAUGAGAUGUUGUGAUUAAUACAACAGGGUCAGGGACCAUCAACCGCGGACACUUUUUGAACAUUUUUCUGUACAGGUUUCAUAAGUUUUAACCUAGAGACCAAAAAAAUUGACAAGGUUCAGCUAGGUUCUUCCCCUAACUAACAAACUUGUUUGUCUGAUUGUAUUGACACUUAUAUCUGAGGCUCGACAAGGAGGUAUCAAAAUUACCUCAAUUGUCUACACUACAGCACCAUGUGUCCGGACAUUUAUGUACAUGACGUUAUUUAAUUCAGAUAACAGCUUGGGUGUUUUAAUUUUUAACAUGAUAGACAAUGAUUCAGAAACAAAUGCUGAAGUUUUGGAAAUUCUAUUGUUUACUCUUCAAAUGAUUAUAGAUGGUACAUGAGGUCAGGCAUUGUUUUCUUGACCCCCCAAAUUUCAACGUCAACAUUCUUGAAAUAGCCAUUAAAAUUAUAUUACCAUUUACGGUGGUUGAAAUAAAUUUAUUUAUUUAUUUUUAGAAUGAAACAUGCAUUUAUUGUUGAUAAAAAAAGUGACAACCACUGAACAAAGAAAAUACUAAAUUAAGCAUUUUCAGGGCCGUCCGGGUUUGGUGGUUGUCCGGUUUUGGUGGUCCCCAACCAGUAGCUUAAACAUUUAUGAACUGUAAAUUCUUCCCUCACACACUUUCAUCAAUAACAAUUUCAAUUAGAAAAGGUAUAUAAAUUAUGACAUGAAAACGUAAAACAAUGAAAGGUAUGAACACAUGAAACAAAGAUAAUUCAACAUAGAGCAACAAAACUAGUUCCACUGAGGAAUACCGUACCGCCGGUAAGGCCCCCACAGUUACACUUUUAAAUGGAUUCGUUUCGAUUUUCAUUCAUAAACGGUUAUGAUAUUUUUUACCGUUUAUUCGAGAUGACCAUAUUGUCUUACAAAUUAUCUUAAUAAUUUCCUGUAAUCAUGGAUUUUAUCUAUACUUAUUGGUUUAUCAAAGUAAAAAAUGGAGAAUGGGUGUUUACAACCUGGACCACAUACCAUCACCGUGCAAUAAUUGCUUGUGACAUAAUUCGUUUUUGUUAAAGUUGAUUUUUCUUUGAUCUUUUAAAUAACGAAAUGCGGAUACAAUGCAGAAAAUGUGUGCCGCCUAAAUCGUGAUGAGCACUGAACAUUAUUUACUUGUAUAGAAAGUAAGUCAUCAUUUGGCGACUCGAAUACAUGGUAUAGUAUAGUGCAUAGAAGUACCACCGUUUAAACAGUAUCGAUUCGGUUCUUAGCAAUCAUGUAAAAAAUUGUAAACGUGGGAGCCUUUACCGCCGGAUAUUGCUCGAUAUUACGAGGACUUUCAUCCCAUUUCAAGACUAUGAACAAAGGUAAAUUCAAGGUAAACGUUCAAUCUGACAACAAUAAAAUUUCAGAUGACAGUGCAUUUUGAGAAUAAAUAAACAUGUCAGUUUACCGAGUAUUGCUUUGGAGUUGCUCGCCGGUGUCACUAGUAUGCUUUUUAAUGUAACGAGUAUUGGUUAUUAAUAUCAAGUAAAUGUGAGAAGUAAUCACAGAGUAUUUACCACAUUUAACCUUAAAUAUUUCUUAUUGUCACAAUGUGACUGUAUACUUAUUGACAUAUGUGCAGAAUAUGCAGAUUUUGGAGGUACUGUACUGAAUAAUACAUACCCAGCAAACAUGCAUAUAUGGGACCUAUAUGGGCUAUAUCUAGGCAAGCUAAUGGGUAUGCCCAUAUUGGACCUAUAUGGAUCCAAUAUUGGCAAGUCCAUUUGGGUACGCCUAUAUAUUAGACCCAUAUGGGUACCAUAAUUCAGCACUUUAAGGAAAAACAAUUUUUCUUUUAUUUAUUUCUUUAGAACUCGUUUACUUUGAGCUAUAGUAUGACCACCUUGGCAUAAAUUGCUAUUAUCCUAUAUAAAAUCGUAGCAUUAUUUUAAACAUUUAUACAAGCCAUGAGGGACCCAUAUGGGUCCCAUUUGGGCAACCCGAUAAAUAUUAGCAUGCCUGAGCAGGUGCGAGAAAUUAAUUUGUUAAGUUUUUAUAUUGGUUUUAAUUUUUAUUAUUUAAAUAUAAAAAUGUGUUUUUAAACUAUAAAUUCAGAAACAAUUUAUAAAAAUCAGUUUUUGAUGAAAAAAUUUAUUUCGAGCAUGUGCAGACGUGAUUUCCGCUGCCGCUUAAAAUCAAAUUGUGUAUUGAAAUGUUAAAUUGUAAAAUUGUACACGAAAAAAAUAUUUCUUUUCGAUUCUGAGCAUUUAACCACGAUUUCGUAUAACGACUUUUCAUAUUAUAUCCUUACAUGUUUAUUGUGUGUGUAGGUAAGCUGUAAACGCUGUUUAGUUUUUGGUUUUUGCCUUUGUAAUGUAAUUUCCCAAUAGUCGUUUAAUUUGCGACAUUUUCUAGAAUUUACGCCCUGACUCUUAGGCACUUUAGGUGACCUAUGCAUGUGUAUAGUUGUUAUUGUUGAAUUACUUAACUGUGACGGAGUCGACACUAACAUUUUAAAAAUAUUGUUUCUAUCUAGACUAAAUUUUAAGAGAUCUCUUUUUAAAGGGACACCAUCAUUUGAAAUCCAGUGUCCCCCCCUAGCCUUAGAAGUCCCUUCCAUUUUGUACCAACAUUUCAUUCAUAAGCAUUUUAAAAUAUUAAAUACAAAUACUUAUUUUUACAAAUUCAAGUAUUUUUUCCAAGUACCAACCAAGCCCUCUAGCUGUUGCACAGGCAUGAGUAUCGGACCUGAGAAGAAAAAAUAUGACCUGAUAGAUAAUUAAACCUGUGUUCAUCGUAAAAAAUUGGAAAACCAAAAAAAUGUAAAUUAUGACCCCCUUUAAAAACAUACUAUAAGUUAAGAGAAGGCUGGAAACUCUAGAUUCGAGCCUACGAGCAAGGGAUUCACUACCCAGGCCGUUGUGAAAACAAUUGUCCAGACAAUUAAAAAAUCUUUUAUCAUUAUUUCACAUUUGUAUUAAGCUUCCAAAUGAGACCAACUCCAAGUCUCUAGCCCUUCCUGUUCAUGAAAUAAUCCCAUCAGGAAACGAGCGCAUUCGUGCUAAAAAUCCUUGGUAGAAAAAAUUGCGGCACAACAAUUCGGUACGUAAACAUAGACUAAUACAUGUUUGUCAGCCGUGUACAGGUCAUAAUCAUAUUGUCACUUGGUGCAAUAACUCACUUAAUGUAUAUGUAUUUUUUAACUACUUAUUAAUGUAUUUUCAUUUUAUUGUCAAUAGGCCAUCAAAAAGGCUGUAUUAAUCGGAUAGUGACACUGAUGAGAAUGAGACAGACACCGAGAGUAGGCCAUCACAAGUUAUUGACAAAGCAACAACGCCAAACAGGCACGAAGCCUGCUUUCACCUCCGCCUUGCUUAUCUGCACAGGCAUUGCGAGAGGCCAGAAGUGAUGUGCAAAGACUGCUUCUCUAAUACAAGGUGCUUCUGAUACGCCCUCCCGUGGGCAGAUUAUUGGGCCCACUGCUGUUACACAGAUUCUCUGAGUCUUGGAGACAAUGCGGGAGGAGAAUCGUGAAAUUAAGAGGAUGAUGUAGCAAUUGUUGUCAAGGUCAGCAGCAGAUGACCAACCGCUGCAGCUUCCUGAAGAUAUCUCAUUCCCUAUUCGUUCUCCUUAGCAGAUGGAAACAUUCCAUGAGCUUCUGGGAGAUCAGACAAAGCUGUCAUCUGUGGUGCGGUUCCUCUCAAUGUUUGGUGGGGCUGAUGUGCGGGAAACUGUUGACCGCUUGAUGAAGGAAAUGAUAUCAAAUGAACUGGCGAAAAUGUUCAAUAUGAAGGGACUGAAGGGGAAGCGAAAAUUUGGGGGCCUCCAGAUUCUGAAUGUAU